AGUAAGCACUUCUGUAGGUCACUCUGGAUAAGAGCAUCUGCUAAAUGUCAUCAA
rfam:Astyanax mexicanus chromosome 10, whole genome shotgun sequence.